ensembl:lncRNA
UUUCAUUCACAGUGGAAACCGUUCCUAAAACAAUUUUAAUUCCUCUUGUUCUACAACUUUGCAAUUACCUGGUUUGCCAUCGCACAGUAACAUGUCUUAAGGAUUGAUCUACCUCCGACGCACAAGCCUCCUCCUCCCUACACAGAGAGACCAUCAGUCAUCCCUCUGGUUGUCCACACACCACAGGUGGCCUCCCUUUCACAGGCUCACAGGGCUGUGCGGCAGUUUGAGAUGGCAGAGAGAACUGCCAGGCUCACACCCCGGGAACCCCGAAGCCCCUCCCACCAGCCUCUGUCCUAUCAGGAGUGGGUGUGUCACCAGAACGGGGCGGAUCGUAUCUACAUCAACCACCGGGAACACUAUGUGUGACGGACACGUCCUAAACCUUCUAUGGACCUGUCAAUCAAUCACUCACCCUGCCCCACCCAUCGCCAUGCAGGCUCACAGAUGCCAGCCUUUUCAAUGUGAAGAACCCAGGCAAAGAAAUAGUUUAUGACUUGACCAAGCCUUCAUAGAUGAGUCUACUCCACAUUUAACAUAAUUUGAGAGCAGCAGUUAUCACCUGUAAGAAGCAAGACUAAUGAGGCCGGAGCAUAAACUGCUGAGUUUCUCUGAGGAACGACAACCCAAACACCCCUCCACUCCCCUUCUCCGAACCACCGCACACACACCUGUUCUGUUCCCAACCACAUCAAUGAACAGAGGAUAACAGCAUAGGGAAGAGCAGGAAGACCGAUUUGGUACAGUACCACAAAGUAACUAUUUAAAAUGGAACACUAAGCUCUGCUGUGUGCUGUAUAGGAGUGGAAUCAUAUGAAAACACCAUACUAAGCUCUAUGUAUAGCAGUUGAAUGUGUUACUAUGUCACUGUGGCUGUGUGAUAAUCCUGUGUACAGUUAUGCUCUUUGAAUUAGUUAGAACUAAUACAUUUUUG